rnacentral:lncRNA from 1 species
GUUUCCAAAUAAUAAAACCAAAAAGUUAGGCCACAUAAUGAGGGCUCCCUCUCCAAAAAUCCUAUAUUCCCUUGGGGUCAUUAAGUGAGGACUUGGGAAGGGACAAUAAUUCUACCUUUGGUAAGACGUAGGGUCUCCCUCUUGGGCAGGGGGUUGGACUAGAUGACCUAUAAGGUCCCUUCCAACUCUGAUUAUCUGUUAAAGAGUUAAUGCAGAGCUGAAAUUGGAAGCUUGCUUUUUGGGCCAUUUUUCCUCUUCUUUUUUCUUUCUUUUUUCCCUUUUGGCCAGCUAAGAAAGUGGCCGGUUUUGGGAGCCAGAAGGAAGAAAUUUUAUCGCUCGGGUGAGUUUCGUGCAAUCCCUUCCCUUCCCCUCUCGUCCUCGCCCCCCUUUUCUCCCGGACAGAGAUACCACCAGAUUCCCCCUUGAAAUUAACAAAUGUAAUUGUUCUCCAAAGAUACAUAUUUUUUUUUCCCCCAUAAGACAUCCAUCAUACACUGUAACCCAAAAAAAAAAAAAAAAAACCCCAAACCAAAAGGAAAAAAAAAGAAAGGGAAGAAAAGAAAGGAAGGAAAGAAGGAAGGAAGGGGAGGCAGGUCGGGGAAGGGGAGAAGAAGAGGAGGAAGGGGAAAGACGUGUACAGGAAAAUAAGAAAAUAAAUUAAAUCCAGCGUGGAAGGAAAGAGGCCAUUGUUGUGUGUGUGUGGGGGGGUGUGUGUGUGUGUUUUUUCUCCAUUCUUCUCCGCCCCCCCCCCCAUUUAAUAAGAGCGAGGAGGGGGGGGAGCCGAUCGCCGGCCAGCGAGGGUCCGAGUGGGAGUCGGGGGGGGGCUGCUCACGACUGGAGAAGUUCGUCAGAAGUCCCACCCAAGAGGCGAUCGGAGCGGCUCUUCCGAAGAGCUGGCAAAAAAGGCGUCCAAGGAGGGAGGGGGGGAAAAAAAUGUCCUUCCACAGCAUCCAGAGAGGGGGGGGGGGGGGGCGUCCGGGGGGGGGGGAUGGGUGGUGGAGGGAGGGGUGAGGACGAUGGGAUCCGGUUCCCUUGGGCGCCGCCGCGGCUAGCCGUCUUCCUUGGGGGGCGUGUACCAGCCUGGGGAGGCAAAGAGACAAAAAAGUGAGUUUCACGAAAGAGCCGCGGGCGAG